rnacentral:rRNA from 1 species
GACGAACGCUGGCGGCGUGCUUAACACAUGCAAGUCGAACGGAAAGGCCCUGCUUUUGUGGGGUGCUCGAGUGGCGAACGGGUGAGUAACACGUGAGUAACCUGCCCUUGACUUUGGGAUAACUUCAGGAAACUGGGGCUAAUACCGGAUAGGAGCUCCUGCUGCAUGGUGGGGGUUGGAAAGUUUCGGCGGUUGGGGAUGGACUCGCGGCGUAUCAGCUUGUUGGUGGGGUAGUGGCUUACCAAGGCUUUGACGGGUAGCCGGCCUGAGAGGGUGACCGGCCACAUUGGGACUGAGAUACGGCCCAGACUCCUACGGGAGGCAGCGGUGGGGAAUAUUGCACAAUGGGCGGAAGCCUGAUGCAGCAACGCAGCGUGCGGGAUGACGGCCUUCGGGUUGUAAACCGCUUUCGCCUGUGACGAAGCGUGAGUGACGGUAAUGGGUAAAGAAGCACCGGCUAACUACGUG